UACGGGGGGGGGGCAAGCGUUGUUCGGAAUUACUGGGCGUAAAGGGCUCGUAGGCGGCCAACUAAGUCGGAUGUGAAAUCCCCAGGCUUAACCUGGGAAUUGCAUCCGAUACUGGAUGGCUUGAAUCCGGGAGAGGGAUGCGGAAUUCCAGGUGUAGCGGUGAAAUGCGUAGAGAUCGGGAGGAAGGCCGGUGGCGAAGGCGGCGCUCUGGAACGUACCUGACGCUGAGACACGAAAGCGUGGGGAGCAAACAGG
rnacentral:rRNA from 1 species